rnacentral:rRNA from 1 species
UACGAAGGGGGCUAGCGUUGCUCGGAAUCACUGGGCGUAAAGCGCACGUAGGCGGAUUGCUAAGUCAGGGGUGAAAUCCUGGAGCUCAACUCCAGAACUGCCUUUGAUACUGGCGGUCUCGAGUCCGGGAGAGGUGAGUGGAACUGCGAGUGUAGAGGUGAAAUUCGUAGAUAUUCGCAAGAACACCAGUGGCGAAGGCGGACUCACUGGCCCGGUACUGACGCUGAGGUGCGAAAGCGUGGG